rnacentral:lncRNA from 1 species
CUGGGACAGCUCUGUCAUGUCCUGCUGAGCAUCCAGUCCUCUCUCCUGGCACUUUGAACUCCUCGAGGGUGGGGCUAGCCUUUGCUAGCUCUACAUCCCCACUCAUCUGUCCUAAGGGCCGCGGGGGAACAAGGGGGUAGAAGGAAAUUUACUAAGCUAAUGCAAGGUGGGUGUAUGGGAGGCAGAGGCAGGAUCGACUGAAGGGGUGACUGACCCGUGCAGUCACACAGGGCCCUGCACUCAGAAGGACCUCACACUUAGUUUAAUGCUCUGCUGUCGCCAUCUUGAAAUUCUUAACAAUAUCUAAACAAGGGCUCCGCAUUUCAUUUGCAGUGGGCCCUGCAAAUGAUGUAGCUAGUCCUGGGGGAGGGACAAUCCCAACUCUCCCAGGCCAGCUCUGUGCUAAGUGCCAUUUGAGUGGCCAGCAGCAGAGCAGGCCUGGCACUUGCUGGCUGGGGAGAUCCGUCCUACCACCACUUUUCCAGCCCUAACUUUGUGCUGGGCACCAUGCUGGAUGUGAGGGAUGCAGCAGUGACCACAACAAACAGGGGCACCAAGAGAGAGCCCCUGGGCAGGAACCUUUCAAUCCACAGGACGCAAGGUCUGCCAGCUGGGCAGAGAUGGGUUCCUCUCCUCUUUCACUGCCAACAUCCCAGCUGGAGGCUGGCACAGUGUGGGCAC